rnacentral:misc_RNA from 1 species
AAGAGUUAGGGUCCUUUGGGCCCGACCUCCCAACCCUUUGUUUACUGAACCUCUGUUGCUUCGGCGGACCCGCCUCACGGCCGCCGGAGGAUCGCCCCCCGGCGUCCUCUGGCCAGCGUCCGCCGAUAGCCAACCCUUCAAACUCCUGAAUAAAUCAUGUUAUAUGUCUAAGUCUUAUGAUUCAAAUCAAUAAAGCA